AAUAGAGGAAACCUCCUACAGGAGGUCACGUCAUACUGACAGAUGUGCUGAAGCAAACAUGUCAUCAUCAAGGGGAAGGAUUUCUCUGGUUGGGGAACUUUCCCAAAAUAGGACAAGUUUCUUUAUAGAGAGACAUGACUGGAAAGUGGGUGUUACAUGGACCUCCAAACAUAGUAAUCUAAUACUGGAAAGAAGGUAAUUAGGA